rnacentral:misc_RNA from 1 species
GCAAAAGUUCGAGCGCGCCCGAGCCCGACCCCUCCGGGGGGACGGUCGGAGGCAUCCCGACAAAGGGAAGUCGAAGCGGCGGACCGCCGUCGGUCUCCGCCGCUUCGCCAGUCCGCAAACCCUUUCGGCGUACCAUACCCUUGUUGCCUUCCCGGGUCCAAGCGGCCUGGGAAGAGACCGAAACUAAUCUUUGUUAACCCGGUCGUCUGAAUCGGACGGUUCGCAUGCCGUCCGACCAAUUCGAAAGUUUA